UACGUAGGGUGCGAGCGUUGUCCGGAAUUAUUGGGCGUAAAGAGCUUGUAGGCGGUUUGUCGCGUCUGCCGUGAAAAUCCGGGGCUCAACCCCGGACUUGCGGUGGGUACGGGCAGACUAGAGUGUGGUAGGGGAGACUGGAAUUCCUGGUGUAGCGGUGGAAUGCGCAGAUAUCAGGAGGAACACCGGUGGCGAAGGCGGGUCUCUGGGCAGUAACUGACGCUGAGGAGCGAAAGCGUGGGAGCGAACAGG
rnacentral:rRNA from 1 species